rnacentral:misc_RNA from 1 species
AGCUCCACCCAUGGUUUAAAUUGUGGUUACAUAAAUAGAAAGAUGGGGAUAAAAGUACAUAAAUGUUAAACUGAAAAGUGAAAACUGUAAGAAAAUAUGGGUCCCAUGUGAUCCCAUUAUAAUCGACUAUCAAAAUUUAAUUAUUGUACAUACAACGAUUGUAUGAAAUAAUUAUAAACUUGGAACACAAAUACGUGAGUCUUACCUAUUUUAUACGUGAAUACCAUCAUACAUAUCUACAUGUGAAAAUAAGAAAAACACACAUAUUUAUUUCCCAAUCUAUGAUUUCUUGAAUGUUGGGUUUCCGUAAGUAUACAGGUCGUAUCAAGUAA